rnacentral:lncRNA from 1 species
UUUCUCCACUGGCAUCUGGGCAGAGUUCAGCCUUUAGCAAAAGGCCAGCUCCUGGGAGGCACCCUGUGUGAACUCUGCCCAGAUCACUGUGUUGGUGGGUGCGGGACUGGUGCAUACCGAUGGCCUCCAGGAUGAGCAUGUAGGCGGCUGUGGUCUCCCGGUCCAGGCCCACCACGGUUCUCACAACGGCAUCGCGGUAACCCACGCUGAACUUCCCAUCCACGUUGCCACCUGUGGGUGAAGGAGAGGAAGCUUCCGGCUGGGAAACAGAGCUCCCGGCCAGGGGAAGCGGGGACUCUGCUCCUGAGCUGGGACCCGCGAUGGAAGCCCUCCCAGAUUUGGAGCAGCUGUUCCAGCUUAAGGACCCCACCAUUAUCUGGAGUUCAACCACGUAGAAGGCUGGAUUCACAGACUUCCCCUGCCCCGCUUUGCUUUGAUUUGUGAGAUAGUAACAACAAAAAUAAAAUUACAUCAAGGGUUCUUUUUUAAAAGUCACUUGAGGAUUUCAUUAUUAUUAUUUUUUUAAAAAACUGUUUGUGGCCAUGCACAGGCAAGCCUCCUCCCAAAUUCCUACACUGUUCUCAUCUGCACCUCCAGUCCUGAUCAGAUUGCCCGACUCAAGACCCUGGUACCCUGAAUGUUUUACUGAAGUGGAUUCAAGGCAUUUGGGGAAAUGUGUAAUAAUAAAUAAAAUAAGAGUUUUGGAUUAAGCCAAGACUCUCAGGAUUGGGAGACAAUAUCAAGGUCGUCUGAUCUAUUUCACAUCCAGCAAACUGGACGAGAGGUGUCUGGACUCAGCUUGAAUGCUUUCCAGGACGGGGGGCUCAGUACUUUUACUUUACUUGCGCACAGCUCUACCCCCUGGAGAACGCUCUUCUCCACAACCAGCAGAAAUCUGUAUCUCCUGAGGUCCUAGGUGGGACCAGGGAGCCACAGUUCAAGGGAGGGCCCUCAUCGUGUAUGUGAGGACAGUUUCCAAGUUAAACGCUCCCCGCUCCUUCCUCUAUGAACUCAGAAGUUGCAUUGGUGGGCAUCUUUCUUCGCUGGUUGUGAGCCCCCAGAGAACAGGGUUUGGGGGUUGACUUGCUCUCACCCCGCCUCCCCUCCGGUCUGGGGGCUUCCUCGGGGACCGACUGCCGUUCCCUGGAUUGAGGCGCUCCCUGCUGGGAGUUUGGGGACCUGCCAAAGAACACCAUUCACCUCCUCCUACAGAUGAAGAAACUGAGGCACAGCGGGCCUGUGGGGCACCACCAAGCUCACCCCCUCUGGCAUCCUGACAAACAACCCCAUCUUCUUCUAAUGAGAACAGGCUAACCUGAUACAGCCAUUGUGUCUCAGGUAUAAGCCCUCGUGACCGACACACAGUGAUCACCACAGCUACUGUGUUUCCUGUGUCCAAGUUCCAGGGUGCUUCAUACGUGUGUCUGAUUGAGUCCCCACAGCACAGCCAGGCAGGUACUAUUAUUAUCUCCAUUUCACAGAUGAGAAGCUGAGACUCAGAGAGGUUAAGCAGUUUGCUCCAAGUACACAGCACCCUGGUGCUGGAGAUGGGAUUCACAUCCCCGUUGGUUGGACUCCACGGCCCAUGCUCUUAACCAGGAGGGUCUCCAGUGUUUCUGAAUGGCCCCCGGAGGGCAGAGGUGUUGAAAGGACUUGAAACCCUGGAUGUCAUCUCCCCUAAACCAGCACCUUCAGGAUCCCUCUAAUCAGAGGAUGAUGGAACAGGAGGCAAAGAAGCCAGGCCCUGAGAAACUUGGACAUGACUUCCAGAAUUCCAUCUUUGCCUCUCUCCCUC